CCAGCAUGUUCUGCUGCCCUCAAGGAGGACGCUGGAGCUCAUGGUCUGGGAUGGCUAUCGCAGCUCCUCCCAUUGUCUGCACUCUGGUGAGGGCCAGAGAAGGGGACGUGGAGGACAGGUCCCUGCUCCCUUUUUAGGCCAAGGUCUGGAAUGUGCACAUAUCAGCCUCCUUCCAUCGAAUGGUGAUGAGGAAUCGGAGGCUCAGUGUGUGUGUGUGUGUGUGUGUGUGUGUGUGUGUGUGCCCAUGUUUGUGUGUGUGUCGUGUGUACACAUGAGCAGGUGCUUUGGUAGCGACACUGCAGGUCUGACUUUACCUGAGGCUGCAUGGUGAGAGGGGCUAAGCCGGCUCUAGGCCAGGUCUGUCUGCCCCUCGGUCCAGGGCUUUUGAGCCAACACUGGGUCCAGGGAGAGAGCUGAGGACUUGGUUCUAACUGUGAAGGGAAUGGGGGUCCAGACCCUGCAGCGGGCCGUGGGUGGUUGACCUGCUCUUGUGCUUUGCCCUCAUUUGCCUUGCGGCCGGGGUUCCUGCAGUCAGGGCAGCGGGGCCAUCAGAGCCAGGCAGUCCUGCGGGGACCUGUGUCUUGCCUUUGUGCCCCGACUUGCUCUGAUGUUUCCUGCCGUGUGAGCUUCAGGGCUCUCUUUUGGCAUUCAGUGCAAAUUGAUUGUUUGUCCAGCUCCCUCCCACAGGUGCUUCAGGGGAGACCAGAUGGGACUGUGGGAGUGAGUGCACUGUAUGGGCUGGACAGUUGGCCACUCGUGCACCGUGCGAGGUCAAAUGAGGGCCUCAAAGGGCUUUGCAGAUGUGGCCUCAGCUGAGGAUGCUGAGAUGGGAAGAGGAC
rnacentral:lncRNA from 1 species